rnacentral:lncRNA from 1 species
CCUAUGUGAGUGCACCCACCAGUCCAACUAAAUGCAGCCUCAACAAUGUGUACUUCUACAGUGUGCCAACUAGCCCCACAAGAGGGGUAUCUGAAGCUCCUUCCAGUUGUGAUUCUGGGCCAAGAACACCAAAGACACAUGAAGAUGUCAGCUGCAAAUUUGGUGCCUUUGAAUUUGAAACGAGUCAUUAUUUUGAUCUUGAUGGCUUUGAGUUUGAGAAGAGUCAGAAUUUUGAGUACCUGUUGGAUCAUGAUCAAGAGCAGCAGCAACAGUGUGGGGAUUCUCAGCCUGCUAUGGCUUUUGCAGAUGAACUCUUCUGUAAUGGACAGGUGCUGCCAUUGAAGCUUCCACCUCGCCUUCA